GCCGGGUGUGGUGGCGGGCGCCUGUAGUCCCAGCUACUUGGGAGGCUGAGGCAGGAGAAUCGCUUGAACCCAGGAGGUGGAGGUUGCAAUGAGCCGAGAUCGCGCCACUGCACUCCAGCCUGGGUGACAGAGCGAGACUCUGUCUCCA
ensembl:misc_RNA Metazoa_SRP Metazoan signal recognition particle RNA